rnacentral:lncRNA from 1 species
UGGAACCAACCCAAAUGCCCAUCGAUGAUAGACUGGACCAAGAAAAUACUGCACAUAUACACCAUGGAAUACUAUGCAGCCAUAAAAAAUGAUGAGCUCAUUUCUUUUAUAGGGACAUGGAUGAAUCUGGAAACCAUCAUUCUCAGCAAACUGACACAAGAACAGAUAAAUCCUGCAUGUUCUCACUCAUAGGAAAAUCAUCGAUCCUGGAUGCUAUCUUAAGAGGAAAGGAAGUUUCCUGCUAGAUAGCCCUGAUCUUGAACUCUGCCUAGAUCUGCUGUGAAAAACAGAGAGAGGUAUAAACAGAAAUAUUAUAAUCACUAAGACUCAUGUCCUCUGUUGCUGGGGCCCCUGGGAAUUAUGGGUAAUAUAAAAUAUGGCAGAGACUGAAGGCAUCUAGAAGACCCAGAGAGCAGCUGGCAUGAGGUUUUCCUCAAGUCAGACUGAGGAGGCAAUUCACCCUUGUUGGAGGCUCCAGAAAUUUUAUAAAGACAUCUUAAUAAGAAGAUAAAGUGAUCGAACAAAGGGAUUACUUGGCAGAGAUAUGAGAGAACUGGGUUCUUAAGCCCACUUUGCCAUGAACUUGGCUGAGAAGUUCUCAUAUUGUAAACAACCAUUAUUUUAUUGCUAUGUGUCCUCACCCUGCCCCUUUUGUAAGAUUUUUAAAAGGACUAAAACACAAAUAAGCGAGCAAGCAAUAUAUGCUGCAUCCAGAAUCUCAUCUUUCUCAAUGUGUCCUUGCUAUGGUUGACAGCAGAGAUGAAUAGGCCUUUGUCUGGACUUCUUUAAUUCCUGCAAUGAUUCCAGCCACAUCUCCUUAAUUACAUGCCUAGGUGACUGGAACAGGUUGUUGUACUGGAGGGAGCAUAGAAAGUCAGCACCAAGACAAAAGUGUG